GGCGCGGCCGGUGGGGGGCGUGGCCACCGGAGCGCCCCAAAUCCCCGCUGAAGUAGGUGGCGAGCCAGCGGGAGGCGGCGGUCGCUCCUCCGCAGCGACGGGAAGAUGGCGCCGCCGGAGACGGAACGGGGGCUGAAGAGCGUCGUGUGGCAGAAAAUAAAAGCAGCAGUGUUUGAUGACUGCAAGAAAGAAGACGAAUGGAAGAUAAUGCUUUUAGAUGAAUUUACCACUAAGCUUUUGGCAUCGUGUUGCAAAAUGACAGAUCUUCUAGCAGAGGGUAUAACUGUUGUGGAGAAUAUUUAUAAGAUUCGGGAGCCUGUCAGACAGAUGAAAGCUCUUUAUUUUAUCUCUCCAACAUCAAAGUCUGUAGACUGUUUUUUACGUGACUUUCCAAGUAAGUCGGAGAGUAAAUAUAAAGCGGCAUACAUAUACUUCACUGACUUUUGCCCUGAUAGUCUCUUUAACAAAAUUAAGUCUUCUUGUUCCAAGUCAAUAAGAAGAUGUAAAGAAAUAAAUAUUUCCUUCAUUCCACUUGAAUCUCAGGUAUACACUCUUGAUGUACCAGAUGCAUUCUAUUACUGUUACAGUCCAGAUCCUAGUAAUGCAAAUGGAAAAGAUGCUGUAAUGGAAGCUAUGGCUGAGCAGAUAGUUACCGUGUGUGCUAGCCUUGAUGAAAAUCCCGGAGUAAGGUAUAAAAGUAAACCUCUAAAUAAUGCCAGUAAACUUGCCCAACUUGUUGAAAAAAAACUUGAAAAUUACUACAAGACUGACGAAAAGAGCCUAAUAAAGGGUAAAACUCAUUCCCAGCUCAUAAUAAUUGACCGUGGCUUUGAUCCUGUGUCCACUGUCCUGCAUGAACUGACGUUUCAGGCAAUGGCAUAUGAUCUACUGCCGAUUGAGAAUGAUACAUACAAAUAUAAAACUGACGGGAAAGAAAAGGAGGCGAUCCUUGAAGAAGAUGAUGACCUCUGGGUCAGAAUUCGACACCGGCAUAUUGCAGUUGUAUUAGAGGAAAUUCCCAAGCUUAUGAAGGAAAUUUCAUCAACAAAAAAAGCAACAGAAGGAAAGACAUCACUUAGUGCUCUUGCCCAACUAAUGAAAAAGAUGCCGCAUUUCCGAAAACAGAUUACUAAGCAAGUUGUUCAUCUUAACAUAGCAGAAGAUUGCAUGAAUAAAUUCAAGUCUAAUAUAGAAAAGCUCUGCAAAACUGAACAGGACCUGGCGCUGGGAACUGAUGCAGAAGGACAGAAGGUGAAGGAUUCCAUGCGAGUGCUCUUGCCAGUUCUGCUCAGCAAAAACCACGAUAAUUAUGAUAAAAUACGAGCAAUCCUGCUCUAUAUCUUCAGUAAUAAUGGAACAACGGAAGAAAAUCUGGAUAGGCUGAUCCAGAAUGUAAAGAUAGAAAAUGAGAGUGAUAUGAUUCGUAACUGGAGUUACCUUGGUGUCCCCAUUGUCCCCCCGUCUCCACAAGGCAAACCAUCAAGAAAGGAUCGGUCUGCAGAAGAAACUUUCCAACUCUCUCGAUGGACACCUUAUAUCAAAGAUAUUUUGGAGGAUGCCAUUGAUAAUAGAUUAGAUUCAAAGGAAUGGCCAUAUUGUUCCCAGUGCCCAGCAGUGUGGAAUGGCUCAGGAGCUGUAAGGUGGCAGAUGGGAACCAUCAUCCCAAGGCUGGACAGACUGAGAACAUUUUAAAAAGUGUGCUGUGGGCUCCAACAUUGCAGGGUCUUAGAGGUCAACUAGAGCAUGGAUUCCAGAGUGGUAACAAGAUGAUUGUUGGGUACUUACUUAUACCUUAAAAAGGGAGAAAUUAAGUUUUAUUAAUGUACACUAGCACACACAUAAUUUAUAAACUAAUAUAGUAUAUUUUUAAUAGAUGCAUAAAAUAUUUAUUUUGAUAUAUUUAUUUACUUUUCAAAUACAAGUUCAAAAUUUUUACCAGUAGGGUACAAAAACAAAAACAGGUGAUCCCCAUGGUCUAGAGUAGACAGUGCUCUCUAGUGGCACCUUCUGCCGAGAGGGAAAAGUCCUGUAGCCACACUAUCCAGCUUGACAGCCACUAGCCACUGGAGCUGCUGAGCAUUGUAUGUGACCAGUGUGACCGAGGAACUGAAAUUUCCAUUUUAUUUAGUUUUAAUAAAUUUAAGUAGCUUCAUGUGACAAAGUGGCUACUGUAUUGGACAGUGCAUAUCUAAAGCAAUCUUGGGGAGAAAAUGGUAGAAAUAAUGGCUACUAUCUAUUGAGUGUUUUUGUGGUACCAAAUUCCAUACUUUGUGUGUUCUAAACGUUACUUCAUUUAAUCUGAAAACAACCCUUACAGUUUAGAGAGCAGUUAAGUAACUUGCUGAAAGUCAUAACUGCAUUAGAAAGAAGCAGAAUCAGAGUUGAAACUCAGGUCUAAUUCUUUUUUAAACAGCUUUAUUGAAGUAUAUGUAAUUGACGUAAUAACUUUGUAUAUGCCUUUAUACAUAUAAAAACAACUUGAUGUUUUGAUAUGUAUACAUUGUAAAAAGAUUACUACAGAUGUACCCAUCACUUUACAUAACUACUGUUUCUUCUUUUAUGUAUUUUUUGUGUGUGUGGUAAAAGGAUUUAACUUAAGAUCUACCCUCUUAGCGAAUUUCAAGUAUACAAUGCAGCUUUGUUUAUUCUGGUUUCGCUGCUGUACGUUGGAUCUCUAAAACAUAGUCAUUUUGCACAACUGAAACUUUGUGCCCUUUGACCAACAUUGCCUCAUUUCCCCCUCCCCUCAGCCCCUGGCAACUAACGUUUUGUUCUCUGCAUGUGUAAGUUUGACUGUUUUAGAUUCCACGUAUAAGUGAGAUUAUAUAGUAUUUGUCUUUCUGAGUCCGGCUUAUUUCACUUAACCUAAUGUCCUCUAGGUCCAUUUAUAUAGUUGCAAAUGGCAGAAUUCAUUUUUUAAGGCUGAGUAAUAUCCCAUUGUAUAUAUACACACCACAUUGUUUUUACCCACUUGCUCGUCGACAUUUAGGUUGUUUCGUAUCUUGGCUGUUGUGAAUAAUGCUGCUGUGAACAUGGGAGUGAAGAUGUCUUCAGUACCUCCCACCAUCAUACUCUACUGACUUUCAGCAAGGGAUGUCCCAAUACCACAUCAGCUCCUGCGAACCCCCCACCCCACCGUAUCUUUAAAUGCCUAUUGUUUCACCGCUACUUCCCUAUUUCUUUAACUUCAAGAAGCCAGAGACUUCAGUGCUCGCCAGAAACCCAGAGGUAAUUAUUUGGAAGACCGAAAAAACGGGUCCACGCUGAUUGUUUUUGUUAUCGGAGGAAUUACGUACUCUGAAAUGCGUUGUGCUUACGAAGUUUCUCAGGCACACAAAUCCUGUGGAG